rfam:Ovis aries breed Texel chromosome 6, whole genome shotgun sequence.
UCCCUGGUGGCUCAGAUGGUAAAGCAUCUGCCUACAAUGCAGGAGACCCAGGUUUGAUCCCUGGGUUGGGAA